AGUUUCAGGCUCAAUCAUCUGAUAUGCUCCAUUGUUUACGCUCUUUGACAUAUACCCUAAACAUGGCUCAAGAACCAGGAAGGGGGGAAAAUGACCUUCUGUGAAAUAUGGUUAUGUUAAUGUACUUUGACAUCAACCAUGAACACGGCUCAAGAAACAAGAAGGGAAAGUGACUUCCAAGACUGGCAACACUGU